rnacentral:rRNA from 1 species
GUGAGGAAUAUUGGUCAAUGGUCGAGAGACUGAACCAGCCAAGUCGCGUGAGGGAAGAAUGGUCUAUGGCCUGUAAACCUCUUUUGUCAAGGAAGAAUAAGUGUCACGCGUGACAUGAUGCCAGUACUUGACGAAUAAGCAUCGGCUAACUCCGUGCCAGCAGCCGCGGUAACACGGGGGAUGCGAGCGUUAUCCGGAUUUAUUGGGUUUAAAGGGCGCGUAGGCGGGACGGCAAGUCAGCGGUAAAAGACUGCAGCUAAACUGUAGCACGCCGUUGAAACUGUUGACCUUGAGACGAGACGAGGGAGGCGGAACAAGUGAAGUAGCGGUGAAAUGCAUAGAUAUCACUUGGAACCCCGAUAGCGAAGGCAGCUUCCCAGGCUCGAUCUGACGCUGAUGCGCGAGAGCGUGGGUAGCGAACAGGAUUAGAAACCCCAGUAGUCC